GCCUGGCUGGCUCAGUCGGUAAAGUAUGUGACUCUUGAUCUCAAGGUCAUGAGUUCAAGGCCCAUGUUGGGCA
rnacentral:tRNA from 1 species